AUUGAACGCUGGCGGCAGGCCUAACACAUGCAAGUCGAGCGGUAGAGAGGAGCUUGCUUCUCUUGAGAGCGGCGGACGGGUGAGUAAUGCCUAGGAAUCUGCCUAGUGGUGGGGGAUAACGUUCGGAAACGGACGCUAAUACCGCAUACGUCCUACGGGAGAAAGCGGGGGACCUUCGGGCCUCGCGCCAUUAGAUGAGCCUAGGUCGGAUUAGCUAGUUGGUGAGGUAAAGGCNCACCAAGGCGACGAUCCGUAACUGGUCUGAGAGGAUGAUCAGUCACACUGGAACUGAGACACGGUCCAGACUCCUACGGGAGGCAGCAGUGGGGAAUAUUGGACAAUGGGCGAAAGCCUGAUCCAGCAAUGCCGCGUGUGUGGAGAAGGCCUGCGGGUUGUAAAGC
rnacentral:rRNA from 1 species